AUAUCAAUAAGCGGAGGAAAAGAAACUAACAAGGAUUCCCCUAGUAACUGCGAGUGAAGCGGGAAAAGCUCAAAUUUAAAAUCUGGCGGUCUCCGGCCGUCCGAGUUGUAAUCUAGAGAAGUGUUAUCCGCGCUGGACCGUGUACAAGUCUCCUGGAAUGGAGCAUCAUAGAGGGUGAGAAUCCCGUCUUUGACACGGACUGCCAGGGCUUUGUGAUACGCUCUCAAAGAGUCGAGUUGUUUGGGAAUGCAGCUCAAAAUGGGUGGUAAAUUCCAUCUAAAGCUAAAUAUUGGCGAGAGACCGAUAGCGAACAAGUACCGUGAGGGAAAGAUGAAAAGAACUUUGGAAAGAGAGUUAAACAGUACGUGAAAUUGCUGAAAGGGAAACGCUUGAAGUCAGUCGCGUUGGCCGGGGAUCAACCUUGCUUUUGCUGGGCGUACUUUCCGGUUGACGGGUCAGCAUCAAUUUUGACCGUUGGAUAAAGUCCAGGGGAAUGUGGCAUCUUCGGAUGUGUUAUAGCCCUUGGUCGCAUACAACGGUUGGGAUUGAGGAACUCAGCACGCCGCAAGGCCGGGUACUUGUACCACGUUCGUGCUUAGGAUGCUGGCAUAAUGGCUUUAAUCGACCCGUCUUGAAACACGGACCAAGGAGUCUAACAUGCCUGCGAGUGUUUGGGUGGAAAACUCGGACGCGUAAUGAAAGUGAAAGUUGAGAUCCCUGUCGCGGGGAGCAUCGACGCCCGGACCAGACCUUUUGUGACGGAUCCGCGGUAGAGCAUGUAUGUUGGGACCCGAAAGAUGGUGAACUAUGCCUGAAUAGGGUGAAGCCAGAGGAAACUCUGGUGGAGGCUCGUAGCGAUUCUGACGUGCAAAUCGAUCGUCAAAUUUGGGUAUAGGGGCGAAAGACUAAUCGAACCAUCUAGUAGCUGGUUCCUGC
rnacentral:rRNA from 1 species